rnacentral:piRNA from 1 species
GUGUGCUGGCACUGAUCGUGGCAG